rnacentral:rRNA from 1 species
AGUGAGGAAUAUUGCGCAAUGGGGGAAACCCUGACGCAGCAACGCCGCGUGUGGGAAGAAGGCCUUCGGGUCGUAAACCACUUUUUGCACGGGACGAAAAAGGGAUAUCGAACAAAUAUCCCCGAUGACGGUACCGUGAGAAUAAGCCACGGCUAACUCUGUGCCAGCAGCCGCGGUAAGACAGAGGUGGCAAGCGUUGUUCGGAAUUACUGGGCGUAAAGAGUCUGUAGGUGGUUUGUCAAGUCUUUGGUGAAAGGCCGUAGCUUAACUAUGGGAAUGCCAAAGAGACUGGCAGGCUGGAGGCUGGGAGAGGGAAGCGGAAUUUCUGGUGUAGCGGUGAAAUGCGUAGAUAUCAGAAGGAAGGCCGGUGGCGAAGGCGGCUUCCUGGAACAGUCCUGACACUGAGAGACGAAAGCGUGGGGAGCAAACAGGAUUAGAUACCCUGGUAGUCCACGCCCUAAACGAUGGGUACUAAGUGUGG